GCACUGCUUUUGGGCGUCGGCGCGCGGCGCGGAGAGUCCGGCUGCAGCGCCAAAGCACGCACUUUAGCGAAACGGGGGCCACGUGGUCCCCGCGGAGGCGGCCCUUUUAACCGAGACCCAAGA
ensembl:snoRNA small nucleolar RNA SNORA76